AUGCAAGUCGAACGGUAACAGGUCUUCGGAUGCUGACGAGUGGCGAACGGGUGAGUAAUACAUCGGAACGUGCCCGAGAGUGGGGGAUAACGAAGCGAAAGCUUUGCUAAUACCGCAUACGAUCUCAGGAUGAAAGCAGGGGACCGCAAGGCCUUGCGCUCACGGAGCGGCCGAUGGCAGAUUAGGUAGUUGGUGGGAUAAAAGCUUACCAAGCCGACGAUCUGUAGCUGGUCUGAGAGGACGACCAGCCACACUGGGACUGAGACACGGCCCAGACUCCUACGGGAGGCAGCAGUGGGGAAUUUUGGACAAUGGGCGCAAGCCUGAUCCAGCCAUGCCGCGUGCAGGAUGAAGGCCUUCGGGUUGUAAACUGCUUUUGUACGGAACGAAAAGACUCUGGUUAAUACCUGGGGUCCAUGACGGUACCGUAAGAAUAAGCACCGGCUAACUACGUGCCAGCAGCCGCGGUAAUACGUAGGGUGCGAGCGUUAAUCGGAAUUACUGGGCGUAAAGCGUGCGCAGGCGGUUAUGUAAGACAGAUGUGAAAUCCCCGGGCUCAACCUGGGAACUGCAUUUGUGACUGCGUAGCUAGAGUACGGCAGAGGGGGAUGGAAUUCCGCGUGUAGCAGUGAAAUGCGUAGAUAUGCGGAGGAACACCGAUGGC
rnacentral:rRNA from 1 species